AGAGUUUGAUCAUGGCUCAGAACGAACGCUGGCGGCAGGCUUAACACAUGCAAGUCGAACGGGUGUAGCAAUACAUCAGUGGCAGACGGGUGAGUAACACGUGGGAACCUUCCUAGAGGUACGGAACAACUCAGGGAAACUUGAGCUAAUACCGUAUACGCUCUUGCGAGGAAAGAUUUAUCGCCUUUAGACGGGCCCGCGUCGGAUUAGCUAGUUGGUGGGGUAACGGCCUACCAAGGCGACGAUCCGUAGCUGAUCUGAGAGGAUGAUCAGCCACACUGGGACUGAGACACGGCCCAGACUCCUACGGGAGGCAGCAGUGGGGAAUCUUGGACAAUGGGCGCAAGCCUGAUCCAGCCAUGCCGCGUGAGUGAAGAAGGCCUUCGGGUUGUAAAGCUCUUUUGCCAGGGACGAUAAUGACGGUACCUGGAGAAUAAGCCCCGGCAAACUUCGUG
rnacentral:rRNA from 1 species